rnacentral:rRNA from 1 species
UACGUAGGGGGCAAGCGUUGUCCGGAAUCAUUGGGCGUAAAGAGCGUGUAGGCGGCUUGGCAAGUCUCGCGUGAAAUCCUGCGGCUCAACCGCAGGCGGUCGCGGGAAACUGCCUCGCUAGAGUCCGGAAGAGGAGAGUGGAAUUCCUGGUGUAGCGGUGAAAUGCGCAGAUAUCAGGAAGAACACCCGUGGCGAAGGCGGCUCUCUGGGGACGGUACUGACGCUGAGACGCGAAAAGCCGUGGGGGAGCGAACAGG